rnacentral:rRNA from 1 species
CCAUAUGUACAUAUCACCCUGCAGCCCAAGACUGGUUGCCCACUGAAGCUAAGCUGGGUUGAGUCUGGUCAGUACCUGGAUGGGAGACCUCCUGGGAAAACUAGGUUGCUGCUGGA